AGUGCUAUGGCUGAUUUAGGUAAUAAAUUGUAAAUUUAUUUAAGAAAAUUAUUAAUAUUUUUUAGCAUUA
rnacentral:tRNA from 1 species